rnacentral:tRNA from 1 species
GCACACGUGGCUGAAUGGCGAAGUGUCUGUCUGCAAAACAGAAUCAUGCGGGUUCAACUCCUGUCGUGUGCUCCA